rnacentral:sRNA from 1 species
UGUUUCAACACCAGGGCUAAUUUUCCCUUUCGUUCAAUAGGUUUGGCAGCUCUCAUUGCCAUCCACCACCCGCUGCCUCCCACCAGCAUGAGACCAGGAGAGCAGCCAAAACGUUCAUCUGGGCACUGGCUGAAUUGGUCACUUCAUUCUGCCCAUUCCUCAUGGACAACAGAUGGUGCAUCACCUCCUGAAGUCCCUGUCAUCAGAUGUACAUUUUCUAGUUUGAGACGCUUACAAGGACAGUAACUCAUGCAGGGAGCUAACUUGUGCUAUGUGAUGUUGACUUCUGCUGUGCUCAUGUCAUGCCUAUGAGCCCAGGUUGCUCAUCUGUCCCUAUGCCCAUCUGAGGUAAUAAACUGACAGUUGUCAAGAUGAAUCACGACGCUUUUUCAGACACACAGGAAGACCAAGUUCGUGACUAAUUGACAAAUCCUCCGGACACAUGAUGAGGCACCAAGAGCCAUCCAGGCAAGUUCAGGCCUGAGAUAUGUACCUCUGGGCUGGAGAGGAAAGCAGUCAUUGGCAGAACAGUUGUUCUAUUUGAUUUGCUAGCUUGGGAGACAUGCCAUACCUUUCUCUCCAUUUGUAUUUCAAAAGAAUGUAUGAGUUUAGUUUUGCCCUUUGGUGUUUGUUUCCCUGCUUAUGAGUGUGCUCCGAAUCCAGGCAGUGUAUGAAUAAAAUGAACUCCAAGAAAACUAAGAGCCCCAGGUUAAUUCCAGCAGCCUAAAGCUUGGCCUUCUUCUUGUCUUUCACUGUCUGCUGACUCCUCCCACCACUCUGUAUAGAUGUUGCUGGAUAAAAAUGGCAGAGAACUUGGCAGGGAUCAAAAGAAUGGAGACAUAAGGAGGGACACAGUGCUUCUUAGGGUGGUAGAUACUGAUACCCAUGUAAAUGCUCUUCUCACCCUAAGCUUCUGGGGAAACAACUUUUGAGGAACCCCAAGCCAACCCCCUAAGACAAUUCUUUAGAAUCAUGGAAAUGUAUGUGCUAGCCAGUUGAGAGCAGAACAUGUUUGCGAGCACCUAUGUGUCACCAGUUUCAUAUGACUGCUGUGGAAAUGGCCUUCACUCUGCAAAGAGUGUAUCUGAUAAUUUCAGCUGUAAGUAGGUAUUUCCUCUGUGUAUGCUGCCUGACAUUUUAAGUUCCCGGAAUUGGCUUUUCCCUUUGAAACAUCCUUCAGAUUGCACAAUUUGCUCAAAGGAAAGAGGAGACAGGGGCAUAAACCAGUUGCAAGGGUCUGGACCAUUUCAUUCUCACCUCCUGAAAGCACCAUGUUUGCUGUAGAAAAACUUUCAGAAUGGACUCAAUUAAGCCAAGACAGUUUGAUUUAACUUGUUUUUAAUUGUAACUGGUUAUUUUUCCUGGCAUGAAGCCAUCUAGAAUUUCAUUUGUGUAUGUUUCUUCAGAUAAUCUCCAUCCACAUUAAUAGUUUUCUAAGAGAUAUUCAGAAUAUUAAAGCGAGAAUUGCUUUCCCCUUUCCUGACAUAAUUUGGUAAGGAGAUUGGAAAGAAUUCUCUUGAUAGAUUGUGGAGAAGGGGGUUCAAGUCAUUUCUAUAGAUCAAUUAACUGUGUCCAGAGGUCACAGUUGCUUCCUAUAGAACUAGAGGCUCCAACAAUGGUGUACCCUAUCUGUAUAUUCAGAAUGGAUCUUCCUGACACAUAAGAAAUAAAACCAUAAUAAACUUAUUUAUUAUGUGAUAAAUAGUUAUAAUACACCUCACACCCCAAACAUCAUAACUAGCUAACUUGAACACUACAGUUAUAUUAGCCUAUAGUUACAGGCUAUAGCCUAUAGUAUAGCCUGAUACAUUAGCCUAUUAUAUUCUAUAUUGCUGAAUGUAGUCUUUUGUAAUUUGUUGAUUACUGCCCUGAGAGUAUAGAGACAGAGCAGUUGUAUAGGCAUUCUUUCCCACUAUCAUGCAGGCAAAAUGUCAUAGUACGUUGGAGACCGCAAUUCAUUCUUUGUAUCAAGAAGGGUUCCUCACCAUCUCUGAUGGGAGAAGAGUUAGUAUAAAGGAUGAAGGAGUUAGUGUUAAAGGAAACAGGUAGCAUUUGCCUCUUUUAUAAUGUUUGCAAAGUGUAGUCCUAGAGUAGCAAUAUUAGCAUUGUUAAGACAUUCUCUCGGGGGCUAGGCAGAUGGCUAAGUGGGUAAGGGCAUUUACAUUGCAAAUAUCAGGGAUUCAGUUUGAAUCUCCAACAACCACAUACAAAGCAAUGCAUGGCUGUAUGUCCCUGUAACCCCAGCAACUGGGGAAAGACAGAGGUAUAUGCUCCAGCUGAGCUGAAAUAGUGAGGUUCUUAUUGAGACUCUUCUCAAUAAGACAGAAAGUUAUAGAGGAAGACACCAAUAUUGUGCUCUGGCCUCUUCGUAGCGUCAUAAGCCACAUACAUUUGCAAACUUGCAUGCAUCACACAAAUAUAGCACACACACACACA